GGGUUGUGAGGUUAAGCGACUAAGCGUACACGGUGGAUGCCCUGGCAGUCAGAGGCGAUGAAGGGCGUGCUAAUCUGCGAUAAGCGCCGGUAAGGUGAUAUGAACCGUUAUAACCGGCGAUACCCGAAUGGGGAAACCCAGUGUGACUCGUCACACUAUCAUUAACUGAAUCCAUAGGUUAAUGAGGCGAACCGGGGGAACUGAAACAUCUAAGUACCCCGAGGAAAAGAAAUCAACCGAGAUUCCCCCAGUAGCGGCGAGCGAACGGGGAGGAGCCCAGAGCCUGAAUCAGCAUGUGUGUUAGUGGAAGCGUCUGGAAAGGCGCGCGAUACAGGGUGACAGCCCCGUACACAAAAGCGCAUGUGCUGUGAGCUCGAUGAGUAGGGCGGGACACGUGGUAUCCUGUCUGAAUAUGGGGGGACCAUCCUCCAAGGCUAAAUACUCCUGACUGACCGAUAGUGAACCAGUACCGUGAGGGAAAGGCGAAAAGAACCCCGGCGAGGGGAGUGAAAAAGAACCUGAAACCGUGUACGUACAAGCAGUGGGAGCACAGGUUUACCUGUGUGACUGCGUACCUUUUGUAUAAUGGGUCAGCGACUUAUAUUCUGUAGCAAGGUUAACCGAAUAGGGGAGCCGGAGGGAAACCGAGUCUUAAUUGGGCGUUAAGUUGCAGGGUAUAGACCCGAAACCCGGUGAUCUAGCCAUGGGCAGGUUGAAGGUUGGGUAACACUAACUGGAGGACCGAACCGACUAAUGUUGAAAAAUUAGCGGAUGACCUGUGGCUGGGGGUGAAAGGCCAAUCAAACCGGGAGAUAGCUGGUUCUCCCCGAAAGCUAUUUAGGUAGCGCCUCGUGAAUUCAUCUCCGGGGGUAGAGCACUGUUUCGGCUAGGGGGCCAUCCCGGCUUACCAACCCGAUGCAAACUGCGAAUACCGGAGAAUGUUAUCACGGGAGACACACGGCGGGUGCUAACGUCCGUCGUGAAGAGGGAAACAACCCAGACCGCCAGCUAAGGUCCCAAAGUCAUGGUUAAGUGGGAAACGAUGUGGGAAGGCCCAGACAGCCAGGAUGUUGGCUUAGAAGCAGCCAUCAUUUAAAGAAAGCGUAAUAGCUCACUGGUCGAGUCGGCCUGCGCGGAAGAUGUAACGGGGCUAAACCAUGCACCGAAGCUGCGGCAGCGACGCUGAUGCGUUGUUGGGUAGGGGAGCGUUCUGUAAGCCUGCGAAGGUGUGCUGUGAGGCAUGCUGGAGGUAUCAGA
rnacentral:rRNA from 1 species